AGCGGCGGACGGGUGAGUAACACGUGGGUAACCUGCCCAAGAGACUGGGAUAACACCUGGAAACAGAUGCUAAUACCGGAUAACAACACUAGACGCGUGUCUAGAGUUUGAAAGAUGGUUCUGCUAUCACUCUUGGAUGGACCUGCGGUGCAUUAGCUAGUUGGUAAGGUAACGGCUUACCAAGGCAAUGAUGCAUAGCCGAGUUGAGAGACUGAUCGGCCGCAUUGGGACUGAGACACGGCCCAAACUCCUACGGGAGGCAGCGGUAGGGAAUCUUCCACAAUGGACGAAAGUCUGAUGGAGCAACGCCGCGUGAGUGAAGAAGGGUUUCGGCUCGUAAAGCUCUGUUGGUAGUGAAGAAAGAUAGAGGUAGUAACUGGCCUUUAUUUGACGGUAAUUACUUAGAAAGUCACGGCUAACUACGUGCCAGCAGCCGCGGUAAUACGUAGGUGGCAAGCGUUGUCCGGAUUUAUUGGGCGUAAAGCGAGUGCAGGCGGUUCAAUAAGUCUGAUGUGAAAGCCUUCGGCUCAACCGGAGAAUUGCAUCAGAAACUGUUGAACUUGAGUGCAGAAGAGGAGAGUGGAACUCCAUGUGUAGCGGUGGAAUGCGUAGAUAUAUGGAAGAACACCAGUGGCGAAAGGCGGCUCUCUGGUCUGCAACUGACGCUGAGGCUCGAAAGCAUGGGUAGCGAACAGGAUUAGAUACCCUGGUAGUCCAUGCCGUAACGAUGAGUGCUAGUGU
rnacentral:rRNA from 1 species